rnacentral:rRNA from 1 species
GACGUAGGGCGCGAGCGUUGUCCGGAUUUAUUGGGCGUAAAGAGCUCGUAGGCGGCUUGUCGCGUCGACUGUGAAAACCCGCGGCUCAACCGUGUGGUCUGCAGUCGAUACGGGGCAGGCUAGAGUUCGGUAGGGGGAGACUGGAAUUCCUGGUGUAGCGGUGGAAAUGCGCAGAUAUCAGGGAGGGAAACACCCAAAUAGCGAAAGGGCAGCUCUGGGGACGUUU